UGCCUGAGAAAUGCAAGUCGAGCGAGGCAUCGAAAGAUGCCUAGCGGCGAACGGUCGAGUAACACGUGAGCAACCUGCCCCACAGCCGGGGAUAACAGCGGGAAACUGCUGCUAAUACCGGAUAGGCAUGGGAGGCCGCAUGGCCUUUCGUGUAAAGGAGUGAUUCACUGUGGGAGGGGCUUGCGGCCUAUUAGCUUGUUGGUGGGGUAACGGCCUACCAAGGCGACGAUGGGUAGCUGGUCUGAGAGGAUGGUCAGCCGGAUCGGGACUGAGACACGGCCCGGACUCCUACGGGGGGCAGCAAUCAGGAAUAUUGCGCAAUGGGGGAAACCCUGACGCAGCGACGCCGCGUGCGGGAUGAAGGCCUUCGGGUCGUAAACCGC
rnacentral:rRNA from 1 species